rnacentral:rRNA from 1 species
UACAGAGGGGGCAAGCGUUAAUCGGAAUUACUGGGCGUAAAGCGUGCGCAGGCGGCUUUGCAAGACAGAUGUGAAAUCCCCGGGCUCAACCUGGGAACUGCAUUUGUGACUGCAAGGCUAGAGUACGGCAGAGGGGGAUGGAAUUCCGCGUGUAGCAGUGAAAUGCGUAGAUAUGCGGAGGAACACCGAUGGCGAAGGCAAUCCCCUGGGCCUGUACUGACGCUCAUGCACGAAAGCGUGGGGAGCAAACAGG